rnacentral:rRNA from 1 species
GCACAAGCAGCGGAGCGUGUGGUUUAAUUCGAUGCUACACGAAGAACCUUACCAAGGUUUGACAUGUAAGUGGUAGUGAUCUGAAAAGUGAACGACCCUUCGGGGAGCUUACACAGGUGCUGCAUGGCUGUCGUCAGCUCGUGUCGUGAGAUGUUCGGUUAAGUCCGCUAACGAGCGCAACCCUCACUGUGUGUUACAUGUGUCACACGGGACUGCCGGUUUUAAGCCGGAGGAAGGCGAGGAUGACGUCAAGUCAGCAUGGCCUUUAUAUCUUGGGCUACACACACGCUACAAUGGUCUGUACAAUAGGUUGCCAAGCCGCGAGGCGGAGCCAAUCCUUAAAGCAGGCCUCAGUUCAGAUUGCAGGCUGCAACCCGCCUGCAUGAAGAUGGAGUUGCUAGUAACCGCAGGUCAGCUAUACUGCGGUGAAUACGUUCCCGGGUCUU